CACGCCGUAAACGAUGAGUGCUAAGUGUUGGAGGGUUUCCGCCCUUCAGUGCUGCAGCUAACGCAUUAAGCACUCCGCCUGGGGAGUACGGUCGCAAGACUGAAACUCAAAGGAAUUGACGGGGGCCCGCACAAGCGGUGGAGCAUGUGGUUUAAUUCGAAGCAACGCGAAGAACCUUACCAGGUCUUGACAUCUCCUGACCGCCCUGGAGACAGGGUCUUCCCUUCGGGGACAGGAUGACAGGUGG
rnacentral:rRNA from 1 species